GCCCGAGCUCCUGAUUGACAGGCCGCCUCGCCAAUGCCUGGAGGGAGAAAGGAGGGCUUGUGGCUGCUCUAUUGUGUGUUCUCCAAAGGGCAGCUUUCUUCUAUUGGUUCUGCUGCAGGACUUCUGCUCAUCCUUGUUUAGGUCAGGAUUUCAAGGUCCUCCCUGGAAAGAUGAAGUAGCAGGAAAUGAUAGACCGAGCACCAGGCCUGGAAUCAGAAGCCCGGUGUUCCACGCCCAGCUUUAUUUCUUAAUGGGUGCCUGACUUCAGUCAAGUUAUAUUCUUUUCAGAAUACCAGCUCCUUGUCAUGAUUAAAAGGCCACAGGAAAAACAAAGGACAGUUCGUUUGUUCACUUUACAAAGCUAGGAUGAUCUAAUAAUUAUAUGCUCACUCACAAAUGUGGAUGGAAAAAGUCUGACUAAAACAUUCGUUUAUUGAAUGUAGCAUUGUAUCAAAUGAAUGACACACCAUGACUAGGAGGGUUUAUUUUUGUAAGUAAAGCUAUUUUGAUAUAACAAAAUCUACAAGUUAAUAAUUCUUCAAAUUA